AGUCGAGGGGCAGCAUGACCUAGCAAUAGGUUGAUGGCGACCGGCGCACGGGUGAGUAACACGUAUCCAACCUACCGGUUAUUCCGGGAUAGCCUUUCGAAAGAAAGAUUAAUACCGGAUAGUAUAACGAGAAGGCAUCUUUUUGUUAUUAAAGAAUUUCGAUAACCGAUGGGGAUGCGUUCCAUUAGUUUGUUGGCGGGGUAACGGCCCACCAAGACAUCGAUGGAUAGGGGUUCUGAGAGGAAGGUCCCCCACAUUGGAACUGAGACACGGUCCAAACUCCUACGGGAGGCAGCAGUGAGGAAUAUUGGUCAAUGGACGAGAGUCUGAACCAGCCAAGUAGCGUGAAGGAUGACUGCCCUAUGGGUUGUAAACUUCUUUUAUACGGGAAUAAAGUGAGCCACGUGUGGCUUUUUGUAUGUACCGUAUGAAUAAGGAUCGGCUAACUCCGUGCCAGCAGCCGCGGUAAUACGGAGGAUUCGAGCGUUAUCCGGAUUUAUUGGGUUUAAAGGGAGCGUAGGCGGGUUGUUAAGUCAGUUGUGAAAGUUUGCGGCUCAACCGUAAAAUUGCAGUUGAUACUGGCGACCUUGAGUGCAACAGAGGUAGGCGGAAUUCGUGGUGUAGCGGUGAAAUGCUUAGAUAUCACGAAGAACUCCGAUUGCGAAGGCAGCUUACUGGAUUGUAACUGACGCUGAUGCUC
rnacentral:rRNA from 1 species